rnacentral:rRNA from 1 species
AUUGAACGCUGGCGGCAUGCUUUACACAUGCAAGUCGAACGGCAGCGCGGGCUUCGGCCUGGCUGCGAGUGGCGCACGGGUUAGUAAUGCAUCGGAACGUGCCCAGCAGUGGGGGAUAGCACGGCGAAAGCCGGAUUAAUACCGCAUACGACCUGAGGGUGCAAGCGGGGGACCGAAAGGCCUUGCGCUAUUGCAGCGGCCGAUGUCGGAUUAGCUAGUUGGUGGGGUAAAGGCUUACCAAGGCGACGAUCCGUAGCUGGUCUGAGAGGACGACCAGCCACACUGGGACUGAGACACGGCCCAGACUCCUACGGGAGGCAGCAGUGGGGAAUUUUGGACAAUGGGGGCAACCCUGAUCCAGCCAUGCCGCGUGCGGGAAGAAGGCCUUCGGGUUGUAAACCGCUUUUGUUCGGGAAGAAAUCCUCUGGGCUAAUACCCCGGGGGGAUGACGGUACCGGAAGAAUAAGCACCGGCUAACUACGUG